rnacentral:rRNA from 1 species
CCGAGUGGUAGGGACGUUUAUUGGGCUUAAAGCGUCCGUAGCCGGCUCAGCAAGUCCUCCGUUAAAUCCAACGAUUUAAUCGUUGGACUGCAGGGGAUACUGUUGGGCUAGGGGACGGGAGAGGCCGACGGUAUUCUCGGAGUAGGGGUGAAAUCCUAUAAUUCCGAGAGGACCACCAGUGGCGAAGGCUGUCGGC